GAUGAACGCUGGCGGCGUGCCUAAUACAUGCAAGUCGAGCGCACGGACGAGAAGCUUGCUUCUCUGAUGUUAGCGGCGGACGGGUGAGUAACACGUGGAUAACCUACCUAUAAGACUGGGAUAACUUCGGGAAACCGGAGCUAAUACCGGAUAAUAUUUUGAACCGCAUGGUUCAAAAGUGAAAGACGGUCUUGCUGUCACUUAUAGAUGGAUCCGCGCUGCAUUAGCUAGUUGGUAAGGUAACGGCUUACCAAGGCAACGAUGCAUAGCCGACCUGAGAGGGUGAUCGGCCACACUGGAACUGAGACACGGUCCAGACUCCUACGGGAGGCAGCAGUAGGGAAUCUUCCGCAAUGGGCGAAAGCCUGACGGAGCAACGCCGCGUGAGUGAUGAAGGUCUUCGGAUCGUAAAACUCUGUUAUUAGGGAAGAACAUAUGUGUAAGUAACUGUGCACAUCUUGACGGUACCUAAUCAGAAAGCCACGGCUAACUACGUG
rnacentral:rRNA from 1 species